rnacentral:rRNA from 1 species
GGCGAGGCCGAAAGGCGUAGUCGAUGGGAAACAGGUUAAUAUUCCUGUACUUGGUGUUACUGCGAAGGGGGGACGGAGAAGGCUAUGUUAGCCGGGCGACGGUUGUCCCGGUUUAAGCAUGUAGGCUGAUUAUCCAGGCAAAUCCGGAUAAUCAAGGCUGAGGUGUGAUGACGAGGCACUACGGUGCUGAAGUAACAAAUGCCCUGCUUCCAGGAAAAGCCUCUAAGCAUCAGGUAACAUCAAAUCGUACCCCAAACCGACACAGGUGGUCAGGUAGAGAAUACCAAGGCGCUUGAGAGAACUCGGGUGAAGGAACUA